AACGUAGGUGACAAGCGUUAUCCGGAUUUACUGGGCGUAAAGCGUGCGCAGGCGGGGGGAUAAGUGGUGUAUGGAAACGCUCGGCUUAACCGGGCGCUGUUAUGCCAGACUAUCUCUCUGGAGCGCGAGAGAGGAGCGUGGAAUUCCGGGUGUAGUGGUGAAAUGCGUAGAGAUCCGGAGGAACCCCAGAGGCGAAGGCGGCGCUCUGGCUCGCGACUGACGCUCAGACACGACAGCAUGGGGAGCGAACGGG
rnacentral:rRNA from 1 species